rnacentral:lncRNA from 1 species
UCUUUUUUUUUUUUUGUUUGGGUUGGGCUUCUGCGGUUAUGAACACGGAAAACUCUAGGGGUCCGAAGAGGCGUAAACGGAGCAAGAAUGCGGAAAAUGGGUCGAAACGGAGGCGUGCAAAUAUAAAGUUGGCUGCCUUGUGCGAUCAAAGCCGUCAACAGGACAGAAUCAGAAUGGACGUAUAUAGAAUUUACACGAAAGAAUGCAUUGUAGCUAAUGAUAUGCUUUCAGAAUUGUUAAAAAACUACCCCUCCGUCCCAAAUUACUAUUCGUUUUGACUUUUCUACAUAUCUAUAUAUUUAGAUGCAUAUUAAAAGGUUUAUAUCUAGAAAAGCAAAAAACGAAUAGUAAUUUGGGACAGAGGGAGUAAAUAAGUUUAUACUACUCCCUGAAUGUAUUGAAGUUGGUUGGCUUAAGAACGUUACAGAAGAAUAAAGGCUCUAAUCAAACACAAGCACGAACAUCCCAAGAGGAAGACAAAAGAAGAUACAUAUGCAAACGCUUGGAUCAUUCUCUUCCAAGACUUCGAAAAAAAAACAGAGACUUGAGAUUAUUGGCACAAAUAAAUCAUUGCAAGUUUGCAAUUGCAACGUAACUCGUGUCAUGCGCACAUAUUCUUGCUUUUUCUCGUGAGGGGGAAGGCACUCAUGUUCAUGUUCAUGUAUUAUUAUCUAUCGUACUAGUGCAGAUCAUCCCUCAAAGAUGGGGAAAGAAAAGAGAGAUCGAGUGCAGAUCGUAUACGGCCGGUGUCUGAUUCGUGAUCACAAACGGUACAAACUUUGUAUCCAAACCGUUGUACAUACGCGUACUACGUAUUUGUGUUGUCAUUGUUGGCUUGUCGGUAGUGUUCAUUGUUCAUUGCAGCGCUCCUUAUUAGCUGAAAUGCAUGCAAGUCUCUUGCAUUGGUUAAAAAUUAAGGGCAACCGAGCGGUCUAGGAGAGGGAUUAUUCAAGCACCCCAUAUACUUUGCGUACGUAUAGUACAUCGCUUUACUGCCGCCUGCGAGCUAUCAAUGUAUUGUUUUUUGUCUCCAACGGCUACACCGUACAUACACGUACACUAGACAGUUCAACAGGUUGCUCUGCAUGAGCCCACAUGGUAGACUUGCUAAGUUACCACUUACCACUAGACCUGCAACUAGUUCAUAAUCCUGAAGAAAAAGCGACGCAACCACUUUGAAUGCGAUUAGGGAUGGCCAGAUAAGAUGGCCUUGGACUAUGUUUUACCCCUUAAACUAUGCUAUUUGGUUCAACUUACACAUAAUGCAAUUUAUUUUUUUAUUUCUCCAUGCACAAGUUCAAAUUUUAAUUUGAGACUCUGUAAGGGUGGCAGUGGACAUCGUAAUCUAUAUUAAAAAUAUUUUAUGAAUUUUUCAUCAUUAGGUUAUAUAUAUUUUUUAUCUUAAAAAUAAAUUUUAUUAUUUAAUAUCCUACCUAUCAAAAUAAUGAUAAAAAUUUAUGAUCUUGCAAAAUUUGAACUUAAGACUCCACCUGUGCAUGGAGAAAUAAAAAAGACAAAUUAUGUUAAGGUGUAAAUGGAACCAAAUAGUAUAAUUUAGGAGGUAAACUAAACCAAAAUAUAGUUUAGGAGGUUAUUGGGCCUUUCGUUAUAUUUGAGGGGAGUAAUUGGGCCUUUCCCCCUUCAAAUAUGAGGAAAGAGAGCAAGUGCAGAUCGUAUACAGUCAGCGUCUAAUUACUCGUGAUCACUUACAAACUCCAUGUCCAAUCCAUUGUAUGUACGUGUACUACAUAUUUGUACCGUGUUGUUAUUGUUGGCCUGCCGGUAGUGUUCGGUGUAUCGUGACAGUGCUCCUUAAACGAAUGCAAGUCUCCUGCGUUGGUUAAAAAUUACGGGCAGCCGGCUUGUCUAGGAGAGGGAUUAUUCAAGCACCCUGUGUACUUGCGGACGUGCAGCACGACGCUUUACUGCCGCCUGCGAGUUAUCAAUAUACUGCCUCUUGUCUCCAACAGGUACCCGUACGUACACGUACCAUACCACUAGACGGCUCAACGCCUUGCUCUGAGCCCGCAUGUAGACUUGCUAAGUUACCAUUUACCACUGGACCUGCAGCUACUUCACGAGAUUAACAGCUAGCAAUCCUGAAGAAAAAGCGACGCAACCACUUUGAAUGCGAUCAGGGACGGCCAGGUAAAGAUCUGGGGUGCGCGAGCGGCUUCCUCUUUACAGGGCAGAGGCGCACGGCCGCUGCCUGCAUGGGACGAAUCCACCUCGGCACCUCGCUUUGCCGGCGUUCGUGCAGCUUCCGUCGCUCUGGUUGGUCUCGGUCCCCUCGUGUGUUUGUGCGCUCGAUCUGCCACCGGUAAACAACUGUGCAUCGUUGGGAGGGCACGGGGGACAACCCCUUUUUUCCUGCAAAUUCCAUGUGCCAUGCUGCCAUCUUUGUUUGCAAGUACUGAAGUACAAACAUGCGUUGCCUCAGUAUUACGAGUGGAUGGCAUUAUGGCAAAUGGCAUGAACACAUGCAGACUCCAAGGCCCAAGCUAAGCUAGAUACGGUCAUGUUCUAAUGCUGAAAACUUGUUUUUGUGCAGCUAAUAUAGAUCCAGUUAUCAUUGCUGUUAUUUUUUGUAUAGCCUUUUUUAUUUUAUCUGUAUGGAAGCCUUGUGUCAAAAAGAGAGCAUCUAGCUAGGCAGCGUGAUUUAUUUAUUUAAUUUAAUCUGCCGAAGAACUCUAACUGACUGACCUCGCGCUAAUAACCAGCCAAGUAUCAUGGUCUGAUCAUUACGGGCAUGUUACGCCGAGAGGCGCAGACGCGACCAGUCGCGUGACCGGAUGAAGCCACGCACUCGCCGACGACCCCACCGCUCAGCGCCGCGGGGAGCCGCUCGUGGUCCCACCUGUCACACUCACGCGCCGUUACAACCUGUCGGUGCGCGUAGCGGAGGUGGAGGCUCCCUCCCUCCUGCAGUCCUGCUGCUACUUCCCACCCGAAAACGAAACCGCAGCUCGCUGCGCCACUCCCUAAUUAAGGCCCCACUAAUUAAACCCUGCCUUCCCCGCUCACGCUCUCCUACUACCGACAUGUGGGGAUCCUGAUACAUUGGACCCACACGUCAUGGGGUGUGGCUGGGUCUGCAAGGUGUGGCUGAUCCCCGCCGCAGAAGGUGUCAGUGUGGUCAGCAGCUUUAAAAUGAACCCAGCCUCAGUCCCGAUGGAGAAGAAAACAAAACGGAACAGCCAGUGGAAGCCGCCGUGCCGAGGCGGACGGGAGGCUACCAACUCCGCCGCAGCCGCCGCGGCGCAGAGGAAUGCGGCGAGGAGCGGUGGGGCCGCCGCUGCAACGGUAGCUAGCUGCUGGGCUCGGCUCGGAGCGCGGGAGGGGAGCAAUGAGGGUGUGGAGGGAGGGUGCGGGGUGGUGCUUCUGCUCCGGCGGCGGCGACGACGGGGGGCGGUCGGAGCGGGUCAAGGCGGCGAUCUUCUCCGCGAGGGCCUCCGCGCUGGCGGCCAUCAAUGGGCAGGGGCACGGCAGCGGGAGCGGGCUCCUGAUCCACCGGAACCUGCUGCUCACCACGCACGGCAACCUGCCCUCGGCGGCCGCCGCCGAGGACGCCGAGGCGCGGCUCGUCCACGGCCGUCUCGUCGCCCGACUCGAGCCUCACAGGUGCGGAACUCUUCUUCCACCUCCUGACCUGACACCUUCCAAGAUCGCUCUGCACUUGUCUACGAUUGCUUGUGCUUGUGUGGGAUCGGAGGCUUUGGUUAUCUGGCUCUUGCAGUGAUUGCAGUGUGAUUAGCCUGAGAUCCGCCCGCUCCGCCUGCGGCCGAGCUAGCAUGACGAGUCGCUGCGAGCGGAGCCCCACGCGGCGGCAUUCGGCGGAUUCGUCGGUUGUGGUGGGCGAGCUGUUGCUAGUGCUCAUGAUUAGCCGUAAUGCGGCUGAUCAGGAAAGGGAAUUGCUUCUGAAUUGUGGGGUUUCUGUUGGGUAGUUAGUAGUAGCAAUCUUCGAUGUAAUGAUAGCGCCAUGAGCAACACCUCCAGCAGGUGCCCACAAAGAUGGGCGGUGUAAAUGGUGCCUUUUAGUUGUAGCAAUGGGCCCUGGUAUUUUGGAGAAGGUUUGCAUAGACCUUUCUUGGUUUUUGUUGAGUAUAGUACUGUUUAAAGUUUGUUUCUUUUCUUCCUGAGAAAGUCUUUUGAGGGCAUCCAAGAAAUUUUUUGAGUUAUGACACCCACAAGCGAUAAGUGGUUCAUGAUGGAAAAAAGUCAGCAACCAGCAAUCUUGGAUCAUGAAAAGUUCAAAGCGCCCUGUUUGUGCAUUUUAUGUCACCUCAGAUGAACUUUGCUCCUCAGUCAGAAACUGGGUCUGAAAAGCUGAGCACAUUACAUUUGUAUUCUUUUUUUUUGCCUCAAUAAAUUCUACAUUAUAGCCUUCCCACUACUUGUUGUUUAUGAAACAAGCCUGAUGUUCGUCUGAAAUGAUUUUCUUUUUGCACAGAUUCUUCAUUACAAGCUCAAUUCUUGACCUUACAAUAGUGGGUCUUGAUUAUACAGAAGGCGACUCAAAUCUGCAGAGUCAGCAACCUCACUAUUUGAAAACAUGCUGCAAACCAAGCCUAGAUCAUGGAAGUGCUGUGUACCUACUGGGACAUACGGGGAAAAAGGAACUGGUGAUUGGUGAGGGAAAGGUAGUUAUUGGCACAGACAAUCUCAUAAAGCUCGCAACAGAUGGGAUGACAUGGUGCCCUGGGUCUGCCGGUUUUGAUGCCCAAGGGAACCUAGCUUUCAUGAUUUGUGACCCAAUGAAGCUGGCCUCUUCUCCGGCUGCAAGAUCAUCCUCAGCAUCCUCGUCCUCAUCACAUUCGUGGAAGAAGGACCACCCAAUGCAAUUUGGGAUCCCCAUAUCUGUGGUUUGCGAUUGGUUGUAUCAACAUUGGCAGGGCAACUUGGACGAGGUUAGCAAGCCAAAGUUACCUCUUGUUCGGUUGAUGUCCAGCAGGAGUGAUCACUCAAGCACCUCAUUCACUCGUCGUCAUGUGUUCAAGCCUGACGACGAGAAUGAUGAUGCCUCUGUUUGUUCAAAGCCUAAACAUCAGCAGGCAUCAGGAAGCUCAGCCACUGCAAGGAUCUCGCAUGAAGCGAAUCCUCUAGUUGAUCUGCGCACUAGCAGCGAGCAAGGGAUUGCGACGCCAGAAAUAUAUGAAUCGCCAAGGCGAAGUUCUUGCCAGGCUCACAAGGAUGCUGCACCAGUUCAACUUUUGGACAUCAACUUCCCGCCCAGGGCUCCAAAGACUAUCUUUCUACCACUGCCUCUGAAGCAAAUGCUUUCCGAUGAGAACAAUGUCGAAACAUCCAGGCCAAAAAACCGAUCGAAAGGCAAUGGUUUCCCAUCAGGACUGAUAUGGCACCGUAACAGUGAGGCUGAGUGUAGGGACCCUCCAGUAGCUCUUCGGCAUGAGGAUUGCAGCAGUGAGGGGCAGUCGAGCUCAUCACCUGUUGAGAUACUGGAGUAUGGAGGUCAAGAUAAUUAUAGCAGCGAGGAGGAAACAAUGUACUCAGCUGAAACCAUGGAAAGCAGGAACAUUCCAAGCCCCAGGGAAAAGCAUGUGGGGAGGAGCCAGAGCUGUGUCACCUACAGCAGGUGGAGCUCUCCAAGAACCUCGUCGAUGCAAAACGGAACCUUGCGAAAGCAGCAUACACUGAUCCCUGUGCGGAAGACACACUCGCAGAACACCGCUCUGCCGCAGAGGAGUCAUGACUAUUUAAGCCCAACGGUCUCCUCAGCUAUGAAGAAGAGGAAUUCCAUGGAACAGCAACAACCCACAAAGCCUCGUCGGAGCGCUGUUCAGUCUUCGCCAAAAUGGAUGUUUUGAUGGUUCUGCACAUCUGGAUUUGUGGGUGGUGACGAUGAACAAAGAUUUGCCGUUUUGGUGGGAAUCUAUUGCUCCUAUGUUUCCUUCUCAAAGCUUAUCUGUAAGUCGAUGCUGUCUUCCUUGCUUUCUCUCUAUAUGAGACUCUAUGCGCAGAAUGGCUUGGAUAAAUAAAGAGAAACAGAAAGGAAAAGAAAAGGCAGAAAACAAGAAGAAAGAUUACAGAUCAAAUGUGUUGAGGGCAUCAUGUGUGAGCUCGCUGUGAAGUGUUGUUAUCCUUGUGUGUAGACUGGAUGUCUGGAUAAGAACUGUUACAGACUGUAGUAUUCAGCUUACGGAUUUUAACUAAACAGUUUAAUGAUGAUAUUUGUUUCUUUUUUUUUUGUUUUAUCCAUGGACAUGAGGACUAUAAUCAUUUUGUUUGCUGUGGCAUUGCGGUGAUGUGUAUGUCCUGAAUUGAAAUCAGGAGUCUUAAUAGGUUUGAGGGUUUGGCUACCAAGUGAGUUUUUAUUUUCCCUUUUCACUUUACUACUUGAAGCAGAUACUGCUACAGAUCUGAAUACUUUUUUUUUUUACCAGGCUACAGAUCUGAAUGCAGUUGAGGCUUUAGAGUAGAUAAUAUUGUCCGUAAUGCGUUGGUAGUGUGCCAGACUACAGCAAUGUAAAUAGCAUUUAUGGUGAAUAAUGUGGCAGAGUUCAUUGUGGUCCUCUACUCCUCUCCUGUUUGCAGUUCAACAUAAUAGCUUGGGGCUGUCACCAUUAGUCUGAUAGGAUCACUGACAGCCGGACGCCACCUGACUGAACCUGACGGAAUUUAUGUACGCAUUUCAGUCAUUUAGACUGAAAUUCAUCAGCUUCCUCCCUCAGAAUUCAGAAAUCCCUGGCUGAAAAAAUUCAGCUCCUACUGUGAUCAGGCACCCACACCAUUGGUUUUGCGAUGCCUCUGCUUUGUGUACGUGACGAGUGCUCCAUUGCAUGACCUACAGGAUUUUGCACAACCGACAGGCUUGAUUCAUGAACCGUGAUGCUGCGAUGAGCAUCUGGGACUCUGGGUUGCCUGUGCGACGGCAACGUCAACAAUGCCAGGCAGGCAGCUGGACCAGUCACGACACACACCAAGCACGAGAGGUCAGGAGUCAAACCUGGGCAAUGAAUCCAACUAGCAUGCAUCGGCACUGCCUCCUGUCGAGUAAUCUGUCUCCAGGCUCCGUUGAUGCCCUGCGCACAUGGAAACGCUGCUGCCACUCUGUCCCACAGGGACAUAGCACGCUCAAUCAUUUCUCCAUACAAUGCAUCUUCUAUUCUUUUCACAUUACAUUUAUACUUAUAUUCAUAUAUGUCAGCGUAUCACGCUCAUUCAUCUCAACAUUUAGGAGUCACCUUCACAUAAACACCUGCAUAUGUUUCCCGAAACAAAGACACAUCUCCGUAGCAUCAGAGUAUAAUUUACCCCAAAGGCUCACACAGCUAAGCAUAUGAAUAGCUUACAGGUUAUUCCAUGCAGAACGGAAGAUAAUGAAUUUGGGAAUGAGAUGAGAUCCAUCAUGCUAGCUUUUGCAGCUGAAAGUCAUUGUGUAAUCAUGAGCCUUAAACUGAACCUUUUGUAUCAUGAACGAGAUUAGAUGCAGGAGUUGCAAUGAGAAGAAAGGCAGAGGUGGUGUAGUAAGAUGCAAGUUUGAGUACUUCUGCAGCCAACGAUCAGAGAUGAGAAGAAAAGUUGCAUCUUGAUUACUUUGGAAAGAUUUGCACAUGAGCUAAUCAUUUCUUAUGUGACUCAAAACAUCACUUAUGGGCAACUUAGGCGCUACUUUUUUUUUCUUUUCCUUUUGGCAUGUUUCUGCCUUUAUCUUGAACAUCCUGAAGGAACUCUCUUUUACGAAAAAGAACAUCACAAUUUGGAAAUAAACAUAUAUUCGUCUGGAAAAUGGAUUUCUAAGUUCUAGCAACAUAUUAGCACCAUCAGCCAGCUGAAAUGUCAGAAGUCUUUUCUUUGAUAAAAAGUUAAGCCAUUCCAUACAGAAUUUUUGACAACAUAAUUAAGCAAACAACAGAAUUUUCUCAGUCAACUUCGAAGCAUGGACAUAUGAUGAAUGUUUAUGCAUAUUCACUUUGGCAGGCAAUUAUACAUCCUCUGUGCAGGAAUGGAGGUGCACUGCCACUGCAACACCGGAGUCAUGCUGCAAGUUCCAGAAAUAACUAAGCUUCACCAGCAAAAUAAAAUUCAUAGCUAAACUUAAGGUCAAUUUGAAAUGCACAGGGCAUUAUGCAACUUUUCUUCUAACAAAUUGACAAGCAGAAUGUCUUUAAAACUGGGUAAUAGUAGAAUAAAUGUGAAUUGGUCAGACAUAAAGCGCACUAACAAUAUUUAAUUAGCGUGUGUUGUUGAUGGGCAAAUUGAAGAACAUGACUUGUAAAUAUCCCACAUAUUUCAAAAUUGCCAAAUCAGUGAAAAGAACAUGGUUCCUGAAGCAUGACUUAUAUCAGCAUAGCGUGUAGCCAUAAUGUAGGAUCUGUCAAAUAUCUUGUGAAGACAGAAAAGAGCAAAGGUGGGGAACAAAUACAAUAGAUUAGCUGAUAAGGUCCGGUCCAUCCAGUCACUCUGAAAAAGAGCUGCCACGAUUUGACGAGCCAUCACAUUCCACAACACGAUCGGGGGGUGUUUGGUUCCGCGGACUAAAGUUUAGUCCCUAUCACAUCGAAUGUUUAGAUACUAAUUAGGAGUGUUAAAUAUAGACUAAUUACAAAACCA